CGUGUCGUGAGAUGUUGGGUUAAGUCCCGCAACGAGCGCAACCCUCACCUCUUGUUGCCAUCAGGUCAUGCUGGGCACUCUAGAGGAACUGCCCCGGUCAACGGGGAGGAAGGCGGGGAUGACGUCAAGUCAUCAUGCCCCUUACGUCCUGGGCUACACACGUGCUACAAUGGCCGGUACAAAGGGAUGCCACACCGCGAGGUAGAGCUAAACCCAAAAAGCCGGUCUAAGUUCAGAUUGGAGUCUGCAACUCGACUCCAUGAAGGAGGAAUCGCUAGUAAUCGC
rnacentral:rRNA from 1 species